rnacentral:rRNA from 1 species
AUCGAACGCUGGCGGCAGGCCUAACACAUGCAAGUCGAACGAGUGGCGGACGGGUGAGUAACGCCUGGUCAACUGCCUCAUGGAGGGGGAUAACUACUUGAAACGGUAGCCAAUUCCGCAUACUAUCUGAUGUGCCUAGAUGGGAUUAGCUAGUUGGUGGGGUAAAGGCUCACCUUGGCGACGAUCCCCAGCUGGUCUGAGAGGAAGACGGGCAACACUGGAACGGGGACACGGUCCAGACUCCUACGGGAGGAAGAAGUGGGGAAUAUUGGACAAUGGGCACAAGCCUGAUGCAGCCAUGCCGCGUGUAUGAAGAAGGCCGUCGGGUUGUAAAGUACUUUCAGCGGGGCGGCGUUACCCGCAGAAGAAGCAACGGCUAACUCCGUGCCAGCAGCCGCGGUAAUUC